rnacentral:lncRNA from 15 species
AUGCAUGUUACUAACUUCACUUCUUCCCCGGAGUUCUUGUGCUUUCUCGUCUCACAGGUUCUUAUCGAUCCUGGUGGAGCCUCCUGCCAUGGUCCUGCUAGAUUGCCAUUGCCAAUACUGUUGCUGCUGUGCACCUGCCUGUCUGUCUGUCUGUCUGUCUGUCUGUCUGUCUCUCUCUCUCUCUCUCUCUCUCUCUCUCUCUCUCUCUCUCUCUUCUCUCUCUCUCUGUCUCUCUCUCCCACCCAGCUAGAGCCGAAGGAUCUGUGUUGGACUCUGUGUUGUGGACUCUGUGUUGGACUCUGUGUUGGACUCUGUGUUGUGGACUCUGUGUUGUGGACUCUGUGUUGUUGGACUCUGUGUUGUGGACUCUGUGUUGGACUCUGUGUUGUGGACUCUGUGUUGGACUCUGUGUUGUGGACUCUGUGUUGGACUCUGUGUUGUGGACUCUGUGUUGUGGACUCUGUGUUGGACUCUGUGUUGUGGACUCUGUGUUGUGGACUCUGUGUUGUGGACUCUGUGUUGGACUCUGUGUUGGGCUCUGUGUUGUGGACUCUGUGUUGGACUCUGUGUUGUGGACUCUGUGUUGUGGACUUUGUGUUGGACUCUGUGUUGUGGACUCUUUGUUGGGACUUUGUGUUGGACUCUGUGUUGGACUCUGUGUUGUUGGACUCUGUGAUGUUGGACUCUGUGUUGUGGACUCUGUGUUGGACUCUGUGUUGGACUCUGUGUUGUGGACUUUGUGUUGGACUCUGUGUUGUGGACUCUGUGUUGUGGACUUUGUGUUGGACUCUGUGUUGUGGACUCUGUGUUGUGGACUCUGUGUUGGACUCUGUGUUGGACUCUGUGUUGUGGACUCUGUGUUGGACUCUGUGUUGUGGACUCUGUGUUGUGGACUCUGUGUUGGACUCUGUGUUGUGGACUCUGUGUUGGACUCUGUGUUGGACUCUGUGUUGUGGACUCUGUGUUGUGGACUCUCUGUUGGACUCUGUGUUAGUUAGCGCUUUGCUAAAUCAAACAGCUAUUUGA